rnacentral:rRNA from 1 species
AUUGAACGCUGGCGGCAUGCCUUACACAUGCAAGUCGAACGGCAGCACGGGAGCAAUCCUGGUGGCGAGUGGCGAACGGGUGAGUAAAGUAUCGGAACGUGCCCAGUCGUGGGGGAUAACGUAGCGAAAGUUACGCUAAUACCGCAUACGAUCUAUGGAUGAAAGCGGGGGAUCGCAAGACCUCGCGCGAUUGGAGCGGCCGAUAUCAGAUUAGGUAGUUGGUGGGGUAAAGGCUCACCAAGCCGACGAUCUGUAGCUGGUCUGAGAGGACGACCAGCCACACUGGGACUGCGACACGGCCCAGACUCCUACGGGAGGCAGCAGUGGGGAAUGUUGGACAAUGGGCGCAAGCCUGAUCCAGCCAUGCCGCGUGCAGGAUGAAGGCCUUCGGGUUGUAAACUGCUUUUGUACGGAACGAAAAGGUUUGACUUAAUACGUUGGACUCAUGACGGUACCGUAAGAAUAAGCACCGGCUAACUACGUGCCAGCCGCCGCAGUAA